rnacentral:rRNA from 1 species
CAUAGGUUAAUGAGGCGAACCGGGGGAACUGAAACAUCUAAGUACCCCGAGGAAAAGAAAUCAACCGAGAUUCCCCCAGUAGCGGCGAGCGAACGGGGAGCAGCCCAGAGCCUGAAUCAGUAUGUGUGUUAGUGGAAGCGUCUGGAAAGGCGCGCGAUACAGGGUGACAGCCCCGUACACAAAAAUGCACAUGCUGUGAGCUCGAUGAGUAGGGCGGGACACGUGGUAUCCUGUCUGAAUAUGGGGGGACCAUCCUCCAAGGCUAAAUACUCCUGACUGACCGAUAGUGAACCAGUACCGUGAGGGAAAGGCGAAAAGAACCCCGGCGAGGGGAGUGAAAAAGAACCUGAAACCGUGUACGUACAAGCAGUGGGAGCACGCUUAGGCGUGUGACUGCGUACCUUUUGUAUAAUGGGUCAGCGACUUAUAUUCUGUAGCAAGGUUAACCGAAUAGGGGAGCCGAAGGGAAACCGAGUCUUAACUGGGCGUUAAGUUGCAGGGUAUAGACCCGAAACCCGGUGAUCUAGCCAUGGGCAGGUUGAAGGUUGGGUAACACUAACUGGAGGACCGAACCGACUAAUGUUGAAAAAUUAGCGGAUGACUUGUGGCUGGGGGUGAAAGGCCAAUCAAACCGGGAGAUAGCUGGUUCUCCCCGAAAGCUAUUUAGGUAGCGCCUCGUGAAUUCAUCUCCGGGGGUAGAGCACUGUUUCGGCAAGGGGGUCAUCCCGACUUACCAACCCGAUGCAAACUGCGAAUACCGGAGAAUGUUAUCACGGGAGACACACGGCGGGUGCUAACGUCCGUCGUGAAGAGGGAAACAACCCAGACCGCCAGCUAAGGUCCCAAAGUCAUGGUUAAGUGGGAAACGAUGUGGGAAGGCCCAGACAGCCAGGAUGUUGGCUUAGAAGCAGCCAUCAUUUAAAGAAAGCGUAAUAGCUCACUGGUCGAGUCGGCCUGCGCGGAAGAUGUAACGGGGCUAAACCAUGCACCGAAGCUGCGGCAGCGACGCUGAUGCGUUGUUGGGUAGGGGAGCGUUCUGUAAGCCUGCGAAGGUGUGCUGUGAGGCAUGCUGGAGGUAUCAGAAGUGCGAAUGCUGACAUAAGUAACGAUAAAGCGGGUGAAAAGCCCGCUCGCCGGAAGACCAAGGGUUCCUGUCCAACGUUAAUCGGGGCAGGGUGAGUCGACCCCUAAGGCGAGGCCGAAAGGCGUAGUCGAUGGGAAACAGGUUAAUAUUCCUGUACUUGGUGUUACUGCGAAGGGGGGACGGAGAAGGCUAUGUUGGCCGGGCGACGGUUGUCCCGGUUUAAGCGUGUAGGCUGGUUUUCCAGGCAAAUCCGGAAAAUCAAGGCUGAGGCGUGAUGACGAGGCACUGCGGUGCUGAAGCAACAAAUGCCCUGCUUCCAGGAAAAGCCUCUAAGCAUCAGGUAACAUCAAAUCGUACCCCAAACCGACACAGGUGGUCAGGUAGAGAAUACCAAGGCGCUUGAGAGAACUCGGGUGAAGGAACUAGGCAAA